rnacentral:rRNA from 1 species
UCGAGGAUCUUCGGCAAUGAGCGCAAGCUUGACCGAGCGACGCCGCGUGAGCGACGAAGGCCUUCGGGUUGUAAAGCUCUUUAGUGGGGGAGAAAAGCCCGCAAGGGUGUGAUCUAUCCCAAAAAUAAGCACGGGCUAAGUUCGUGCCAGCAGCCGCGGUAAGACGAACCGUGCGAACGUUGUUCGGAAUCACUGGGCUUAAAGGGCGCGUAGGCGGGCUGACAAGUCUGGGGUGAAAUCCCACGGCUCAACCGUGGAACUGCCUUAGAUACUGUCGGCCUCGAGGGAGGUAGGGGCGUGCGGAACUGUAGGUGGAGCGGUGAAAUGCGUUGAUAUCUACAGGAACUCCGGUGGCGAAAGCGGCGCGCUGGACCUCUUCUGACGCUGAGGCGCGAAAGCUAGGGGAGCAAACGGG